rnacentral:rRNA from 1 species
AAAGAGGGCCCUCUUCUUGAAAGCUCUUGCUAGGUAGAUGAGCCUGCGUCGGAUUAGCUUGUUGGUGGGGUAAUGGCCUACCAAGGCGACGAUCCGUAGCUGGUCUGAGAGGAUGAUCAGCCACACUGGGACUGAGACACGGCCCAGACUCCUACGGGAGGCAGCGAUGGGGNAUAUUGGACAAUGGGCGCAAGCCUGAUCCAGCAAUACCUCGUGUGUGAAGAAGGCCUUAGGGNNGUAAAGCACUUUCAAUUGGGACGAAGAGUGGUAACUUAAUACCUUGCUACUUUGACGGUACCUUUAGAAGAAGC